rnacentral:piRNA from 1 species
CUCAACCUGUAGGUCCCAACCCCUGG